GACGAACGCUGGCGGCGUGCUUAACACAUGCAAGUCGAACGAUGAAGCCGGAGCUUGCUCUGGUGAAUUAGUGGCGAACGGGUGAGUAACACGUGAGUAACCUGCCCUUGACUCUGGGAUAACUGCUAGAAAUGGUAGCUAAUACCGGAUACGACCCUCGGAGGCAUCUCCAGGGGGUGGAAAGAAUUUCGGUCAAGGAUGGACUCGCGGCCUAUCAGCUAGUUGGUGAGGUAACGGCUCACCAAGGCGACGACGGGUAGCCGGCCUGAGAGGGUGACCGGCGACACUGGGACUGAGACACGGCCCAGACUCCUACGGGAGGCAGCAGUGGGGAAUAUUGCACAAUGGGCGCAAGCCUGAUGCAGCAACGCCGCGUGAGGGAUGACGGCCUUCGGGUUGUAAACCUCUUUUAGUGGGGAAGAAGCGAAAGUGACGGUACCUGCAGAAAAAGCACCGGCUAUCUACGUGCCAGCAGCCGCCGUAA
rnacentral:rRNA from 1 species